GACGAACGCUGGCGGCGUGCUUAACACAUGCAAGUCGAACGGUAAGGCUCCAGCUUGCUGGGGUACACGAGUGGCGAACGGGUGAGUAACACGUGGGUGACCUGCCCUGCACUUCGGGAUAAGCCUGGGAAACUGGGUCUAAUACCGGAUAGGGCCGCUCCGUGAGGGUGUGGUGGAAAGUUUUUUCGGUGUGGGAUGGGCCCGCGGCCUAUCAGCUUGUUGGUGGGGUAAUGGCCUACCAAGGCGGCGACGGGUAGCCGGCCUGAGAGGGUGGACGGCCACAUUGGGACUGAGACACGGCCCAGACUCCUACGGGAGGCAGCAGUGGGGAAUAUUGCACAAUGGGCGGAAGCCUGAUGCAGCGACGCCGCGUGGGGGAUGACGGCCUUCGGGUUGUAAACUCCUUUCACCAUCGACGAAGGGUUUCUGACGGUAGAUGGAGAAGAAGCACCGGCUAACUACGUG
rnacentral:rRNA from 1 species